AGCUCGAAGGUGAGGGCCAUGGGAGGGAGGACGGUGAGGAUGGAGAUCUGAGGGAUGCGGUGGAAGGUGAUGGAGGGGGUGGCGGCGGUGACAGCGGCGAUGUAUUUGGCGGUGGCGUCGCAGGUGAAGGCGGUGGGGGAGGUGGGGGUGUCUUGGUUGGGGGGUGGGGUUAGGAAAAGAAUGGUGAUGGAAAGUGAAGGGUGGUGGCUUAGUAUGAGUUUACCUAGUUCCACCAUUGAAACAAGGUGUCCUCUUCCCAAAGCUGAAUAUAGAACAAUGGAAUCUUUCAUGGUCAUGAUGAUUCAAGAGAAAGUCUUUUUUUUUUUCCUUUUUUUUCUUGCUCUUGCUGUGGUGAUUCUUAGGAGGGUGAAUUGGUGUGGAGGGAAAGUAUUUUGCAUGGUCUAUUUAUUAGCAACUUUGGGAGGUGCAGGCUACGUACGUGUCUUGGAUUAUAUGUCGGCUGGAAUAUUUCAUUUAGAAAAAUGUUUUGUAGGGUCUCAUUAUUAUGUGGAGGAGAGAGAGAGGAAGAAAAAAAGGAAAAAAUUAUAUAAAAAAUAUUUGAUCAAUACUCACAAUAUUAUCUAACAUUGGAGAGAAAAUAAAAAAAAUAUAAAAAUAAUAAGUAUGAUAGAAAAAGAGAGAUUAAUAUAAAUAAGAAUUGUUAUUAAAAUAUUUAAAAUUAGAGAAUAUUUAUGUAUUAUUACUCAAAAUAAAUAUAAAUAUUAUAAAAAUUAUGAUGUAAUUUAAAAAAAUAAAAGAUAUUAAUGAAGUCUUUAAAAUAAGUAAGUGUAUGUGUAAUUAAUAUUUUUUUUUAAUUCUUUUAUAAGUAGAAAAUUUAAGAGAAUUAGGUCAUGAAAGUCCACCAAAUGAUGAUAAAUCUCAAGAUUAAAUAAGUGCUCAAGAAAUACUUACUGUUUACAUACUUCUCAUGCUGUGAAACUCACUUCCUUCCUUGUGAGACAUGAAUUAAUCUCAUGAUUAUCAGCUAGAUCGACUUAAUUUGUUGGUUUGGGAGGUAUAUUCUUAAACUAGAAGGGAUAAAAAAAGUGUAAUAUUUUACCUAUGGAUAUACAAGGCUGUGUUUCUAGAAGUUGAAUAUACGAUGGUUAUUCAAGUCAAGGAUUUUAUACUAUUAUCGCUUGGAGCGGUGUGGUGUGGUACCGUGAUAUGGAUGCGUUGCUAUUUAAACCCACACUUAUUGAAAUAAUUAUAUGUCAGUAGUUGAGUCAAUAUAACCCACAUUUAUUGAUUUCAGAAAAACAGUCAAGGUGCACCGAAUGAUAUGAUAAGAAAUUAUUAAAAAAUAAAAUAAAAUUGGGUGAAUAAAAUAUAAGAAAAGUUUAUGCGGAUGAAUAAAAAUCUUUGUUUUAGUACGAUAAAUUCUAUGGUAUAUAUCUUUUAAAAUUAAAAGUUUUGGAGUUGUCAUGUUAUUGGGACUUAAUUUCUUUACUAUAUUUAAAAUUCAUUUGACUGUUGGUCUAAAAAAAUUGAGCGUAGCAAGUUUAUACAAGAAAUUUUCUUUUAAAGAACAAUCCAUAUAGAUAAAAUAUUGACUGAACAUAAAAAAUUAUCUAAAAUAUUAAACCUCCUCAACCUAUAAUUAAUGUAAUCUAUAUUACAAUAUAAAUUAAAAUAGUCUCAAAUUUAUAUGAAGAUACAAUAGAAAGGUUAAUGUAUAUUAGUAUACUUGUGAUGAAAAUUAAAAAUCUAUAAGAAGGUUGAGUAAUGUUUAUUUUAUGCUUAAUUAUUAUACAUCCAUGUAUUUCUGGAAGAUUAAAUACUUAAUGGCUAUAUAUCACUUAAAACUGUGUUCACUGGGAUAUAAUUGACGUGAUCUGUUGUUUGUCAUUGUUUGAACUCAUGAAUUAAUAUAUUUAUUCGCUCUGUAUAUAUUAGUUGGAUUUAAAUGCUUCCUAAAAUAAUAUCAAAUUCAGCCUUAUUCAAGCUUUUUAGUUUUUAAUAAUUUAAAUAAAAUUGAUUAUAUAAAUUUUUAUGUCUUAUUUCUUCUUUUUUACCACAAAAAUGGUGGAUUAUAUUUCAUCAGUAGAAAAAAAAAAACAAAAAAAUUCAGUGCAUCCAAUUAUAACAAGGACAAUAAGAGGGUUAACUAAUUAAGUGGGAAACUGACUUUAGAACCAGGGUCAUAUGUUUGCAGUCUCAAUUAUAGCCUCAAAAUAAGUCUCACCUCGUGUCGAUUUACGUUUCCUUGGCUGUAUUGUAAAUAUGUUAUUUAUGUAUGCACUUGAUAUUUCUAAUCGUCUACGAUUUUUAAUUUAAUUAUCUUUUAUUUCGAUAAUUAAAAUAUAUUUUAAUAAUUUUUUUAAUAAUUUCAGUAAUUAAAAAUAUUAUAUUAUAAUUUAAAUUAUUUAUAAAUCUAAAAUAUAAUUUAUAUAUUUAAAAAUAUUUAUUUAUUAAAAAUUUUAAUUACACGAAAAUAAACAUUUAUUAUGGGUAAUGUAAACAGUAAAAUACUCCAGAAUAGUAUGUCAAGGAUUUUAGUUUUUAUACUCACUUUUUUAUAUGUAUAUUUUUAUCAAGUUAUUUAUAAGAAUUUUUUUCUUUUUCUUUUUCUCUUUUCUUGAGAACCAUAUGCUUAUAUUGGGGAUAUUGGCAUCAUUGAAGCCUCAGAAUAUGGGUCAACAUCACGUAAUUGAACCGUGCCAUUAUUUUGUAACUAAUUUAAUCUAAAUAUCAGCAGCAUUUGUCGUAGUGCUUCUGCAUGAUUCAUGCCUAAUGUUGACAUGCAUGGGUGAAAGGAAGAAACGUGUGAGAGAAAGAAGAAAAAAAAUAAAAGAGAGAUGAUAGAUAUGGAAAAUGAGAUUAAAGAUAAGUCUGCAAAAUGCAAAUAUGAUAACCCUGUAUUAUUUUGUUUGAGGAGUGCGUCAUGUAUAGUAUAUACUUGGCUUAUAUGUGUCAUCUGCAACAUGAUGUGCGUAAGAAGCAUACAAUUUUUCCUUUGCAUGUUACUGAUUGAUUGCUUCGGAUCUAUUGUUUCUAUUCUCGGUCCACAUGCAGUAGCAGCAUAUAAUUUUUCCUUUGCAUGCUAUUUCUUAAUUUACUGUGCGAAACAUCUCCCUUAAUUAACAUGAAUUUUGUAACUACAAUGCUGUCAUUGCAAUGUCAUAUAAUUAGAAAAUUAUUUACAAUGCUGUCAUUGCACUUGCAGUACAUGACAUUCACGACGACUGUUCUGAGCCAUAUGAACUUUUGGUGGUAGAUACAAAAUCCAGAUUCAUUUAACCUUGUCUAACUAUAAUAUUAAGCCAUUGAUUCCAAUGGUUUUUCCAACGUAGAAAUAUAUUAUAUUAAUAAGGUAGCGUACACCUUUGCUUGGGACACUGUCGAGAUUUUCUGGAAGUAGCUUUGUAUACUAUGUGUAGAUAUAUUUAAUUACCAAAUGGGAUUUUGGAUGUUGUGGAUUUGUACUUUUGCUAUUGGAUUAUUCGUCCAACAAUAGGGUUUUUGUUUUUUAUUCUUAAAAUAUCGAAACCUUAAGGUCUAUUAUUUAGUAUCUGACUAUCUGUGUUGCCAUGCAUUACCAGAAGUUUGGCAAAGAUAUUAUAUUACUUACUUGAUUCAUUUUUGUUAGUUAAUAUAACUAAAAUAUAUAUGAGUGUUGGAUUCUUAUUCGUACCAUGCAGAAAUCAUAUGAAUACAUUUAGGGCCCUUAUUUUAGUGUGAUUUUAAAAUAAGUUACAUUAUUAUAUAUUAUCCAAUCAUAUAAUGUCACUUGAUUUAUUUUAUCACAUAAUUAAGUUUAAUGUUUUGAUUUUUUGCAAUUAAAACCAAAGGUUUAUUUUGCAAUUAAAACCUAAGAAUCUUUUUACAAAUUUGAUAUUUUUAUUUUAAAUUUAAUGUAUUUUAAAAAGAUACUUUAAUCCAUAAUUAAUUCUUAAUCUUUUAGAUUAUAAACCUAGCCUUCCCAAAAAUAAUUAAUCGAUGUUUGUCAAUCCAAUCAACCAAGUGAAAUAGGUCAAACCAGCUUAAGGUUACCUAUAUAUAGUUCUUGUCAAUUAAUUUCAAUUGGAAUUUGUUCAAUGGUUAUUCCUAAACUUGUAUGACCUAGGAUAUGGCCAAGGCCACAAUGCAUCUAAUAGAUAUAGUUGCAACUAGACAUUAUUAGAAAAUUAUUUCUCUCUAGCUUUUGGGCAUAAUUAGUCCUUCUCCUUUAUAUUUCAAUGUCGUGAGAAUUGGCCUUCAGAAUCAUCGCAUUCACAAUCAAAAUACUUUGCUUAGAAAUUAUUCAGUGGAAUUAAAUCUAACUUUAACAUAAACACAUGUUGCAAGAUGACAAAUUGGAUAUGACACAUCUAAGACUAUGAAACAGGUUUCGCAAAUAAUUAAGUUUGAAUUUGGUAUGAAAUAAACAUCAAUCACUGACCUAACAAACAACUAGGUACAUCCGGGUAAAGAUUGAUAGAACACAGGAAAAAUUAGAUCUAAAAUGAAGAAGAUUGAGAAUUAAUUGAGGAUUAAAGUGUCUUUUUAAAAUAUAUAAAUUAAAAAUAAAAAUAUUAAAUUUGUUAAAAGUCCUUAGGUUUUAAUUGAAAAAAAAAAUAAAAAAUUAAACUUGAAAGUUUGAUGAUGAAAUAAAUCACAUAACAUUAUUUGAUCAAAUAAUAUACAACACACAUGUGACUUAUUUUAAAAUUACGCCAAAAUAACAUGCCAGCGGUUCAACCUUUUUUGAAGCCUUCUCAUGAUAUCAUAAAUUUAGGGUAUAAAUAUAAGUAAAAGAAAAUGAUAAAUGUCAAAUUAUAAAUUAAAAUAAUUUCAAAUUCAUUUAAAGAUGUAUACAAUUGAAAAGUUAAUAUAAAUUUAGUAUACUUAAUACUUGGGAUGAAAAUUAUAAAUCUAUAAGGAGAUUAUGUUUAUCUUAUGCUUAUGCGUGCAUAUGCUUCUAGAAGAUUAAAUAUUUAAUGGCUAUAUCACUUAAAACUGUGUUUACUUGGAUUGAUGUGAUAUGUGAUUUGAAUGCUUGCUAAAAUAUUAUCAAAUUCAGCCUAAUUCAAUCUUGCAAGUUUUUCAUAAUAAUUUAAAUUAAAUUUAUUACAUCAACUUUUGUCUUAUUCCUUUUUUUUACGACAGAAAAGGUGGAUUAUAUUUGAUUAGAAGACAAAAGCAUGUACAUCCAAUUGUAACAAGGAAAAUAGUUUCUCUAUUCAAAUUAUCUCGUGGAUUGAAAUGAUAGCUUAAUUAAAUUAACUAUGAACGAAUAAGAGGGAAAGCUGACUUGAGCCAGGGCAAUAUAUAUGUUUUCUGUCCUCCAUUAUGGCAUGAAAAUAAGUUGCACGUCGUGUAGGUUACGUUUCCUUGCAUGUUAUUUAUAUGUGAUAUUUGAUAUUCUCCACUGUCUAUCCUUUUCAAUUUAAUGUUUUUUGCCUUUAUUUCCAAAAUAAUUUUUAAUAGUAUUACUUUAAAAUUUUAAAAUAAUAUUAUAUCAUAAUUUAAAUUAUUCAUUAUAGAUCUAAAAUAUAAUUUAUAUUUAAAAAUAUUUAUUUAUAACAAAUUUUAAUUAUUUAAAAAACAUUUAUUACAUUCAAUGUAAAGAAUAAAAUACUAGUUAACUGAUAAAUUAACAUUCACCCCCACCAGUAUCAUUCCUGAAUAAUGACAAGGAUUUUAAUGUUUAUACUGUUUUUUUAAUACUUUAUCACAUUAUGUAUUGUAAUUUUUUUCUUUUUCUUUCUGUUUUUGGAGCACAGAAUGCUUAAUUAUACUGGAGUGACUAAGAACUUUUAACUCAAUUAAUUGACCUUGAUAUAAUUAUUAUAAAUCUUAACAUUAUUUUUAAUUCCUAUAAUAAUAAUAAAAAAAAUACCAGGAGUGUUGGCAUCAUUGUAGCCUCAGAAUAUGGGUCAAUGACUGGUAAUUGAACCGUGCCACUAUUUUGUAAUUAGCAACUGCAUUUGUUGGUUGCACGUGCUUCUGCAGUCGAUCUGCACGGUUCUUAAUAUUUUAACCCAUGAAAUCAAUAAAAGAAAAAUAUUUUAACUUAACACAUGCAUCAUGCUUGACAUAGUGCGUAUUACCAACAAGGAAAAAGUUAAUUGUGCAUCCUAAUUUUGGAACGAGCAGGUGAAAGGAAAAGAGAAAUAGAUAAAUAAAAUAAAAUUUGAGAGAGAAAUUAUAGAUGUGACAAGUGAGUACGUUGAUAACAAAUAAAUAAAUAAAUAAUUAAAAUGAAAAAAAAGAGAGUGAAGGAUAGAAGAGAAGCUGAAUUCCUUAGGAUUGUUAGCUUGACAUCGGAACGAGCUAAUAAAACUUUCCUUUCUGGUUUGUGCUGCAUGCAAUGCAUUACUGUUCUUCCUGUACAUGUCUAUCAUUGAGAAGCAUAGUGUGUUUAUUGUUCUUAGUCUUACAUUUUGUUGUAGCAAGGUUUUUGAUUAAUCGGCCAUGUCAUUUGUCAUUAUGGUUCAACAACAUACUUUCUCUCCUAGAAAUUGUAGCAAGUUGCAUUUGUCUUCAUAUUAUUGGAUUUUAUAUAUAUACUUUCAAACACACACAUAUAUGAGAUGAGGAAUUGUAACAAGCUGCAUUGCAUUUAUCUUUAGUUUUUUUAAAAGAAGUUUGAGAAUUCGAUAUCAAGAUGUACAUGGUUUAGAAAAUUAUCUGCAAUGCUGUCAUUGCAGUACAUGACAUAAAUUCACUUUUACUGUUCUGGGCCCUAUGAAUUUGUGGUGGUAUGUAGAUCCAAAUUAGUUUAACCAUGGCCAACUAUAAUAUUAAACCAUUGAUUCCAUUGGAUUUUCCAAUGUAGAAAUACAAUUAAUAAGGCAGAAUAUAUCACCUUUGAUAGGUACUCUGUGGGGUUUCAUAGUAAUUAAGUAGCUUUUGUACUAUUUGUAGACUAUAAACACUAUAUAUUUAUUUUGAUGGAAUUGGAACCAAGUGGGAUUUUGGAUGUUGUGAAUUUGUAGCUUUUCUAUUGGAUUACUUUUCCAAUCGGUUUUUUGUUUUUGAUUUUUUUUAUGGGAUAGAAAACUGUAGGUCUUUAAUUUAGUAUGUAUGUUGCCAUUACCAGAAGUUUGGUAAAAAGAUAGUAUUACUUACAUGAUGCAUUUAUGUUAAUUAAUAUAACUUGAAAAUAUGAGCAUUGAAUUAUUAAUAGGGGUUGAGUAUAAUGGAAGAAACUAAUCUCACAUAACUUAAUAAAUAUUUGAAUUUCUGUUAGAAAAAUGUGUCACCAUUUAAAAUUCAAUCGUAUUCGAACAUAAUUGACUCUGGAAGGAAAUAAUAUGUGAAAAACAAAAAAAAAAAAAUGAGCAUUGAAUUCUUAUUUAAUUUGUACCAUAUACCCUGCAGAUCAUAGGAAUUCGAACAAUAUUUAACAGCUAUUCAACUUAUUUUGAAGCAUCCUCAUGGUAUCGUAUACUUGAUAUAUAUACUUUAAUUUUAAUCCGUACCAACCUGUAUGCACUGAUACAUGGCAUCUCUUCAUUGUUUUGCUUCUCGAUAGCUUCAUGCGUUCUAUUGAUGUCAAUAUAAGGCAAUAAUCUCGCCACUAAUGACGUUAUUUCUUUUUUCAUUUGCUUGUCAUCGUUUCUCUUGCCGCACACAAAAACCAUUAAAUUAACAUAUUUUUUAAUUGGUUAAAUGUUAAAUAGUUAGUUAAUUAUUAAUUUUUUUUAUAAAAUUGACUUAAUGACAAAUAGAGAAGAAAAAGAUAAAAAAAAAAAGUUAUUGAUUUGAACUUUUCGAUAACGAACAACAUAUAUAUUCAUUCCGUAAUUAAUUAAAUACAAAAUUUAUCAUAUAUGUCUACCUCAUGUCAAGUGACUAUUGGCUUUUGAAAUCAACAUGCAUAUAUAUAAAAAUGAGAAAUUGUAGCAAGUUGUUUGGUUAAUCAGCAAUCUCAUUCGUCUUUUAUGGUUCAGAAACGUACUUUCUCUUAGAGGGGAAUUGAAGAAAGGCGCGUUUGUAUUCACAUUACUGAAUUUUAUAUACUCCUAUAUGCGAGAUAUGGUGACAAUCUUCUUUUGUCUGUGUAUAUUGAUAUGCCCCUAAUAUAUAAAUUGUUCGUAGAAGCUAGUUGGAUAUUAACUAGCUAGAACGUGAAAUUAUUUUUGGCAAUGUACGUACUUCACUACUGAACUCUCAUUUCAAACAGUAUUUUAUAUUUCCAUCUUUUUUUAUCUUCUUGUUUUAUCAUAUUUCUAAUUUCAUUUACCAUUUAUGUCUUACAUAUAUAUACAUGAAGCAUUAACCCGUGUGACAAGUGACAAUGGGUGUUUCUAAUAAAAGUAUCACGUAUCAUUACUCCUACUUAUUUAAUAUAAAAUCAAAUUAUUAAUGUUAGUUUAUUUCAUUUUUGUAUUAGGGAAAGACUGGAAGUACCAAAAAUUUGAGACGAUUGAUGAUGCACGAGCGAAAUGAUUUAUUUUUUUAAUUUUUUAUUGUUAUUUAAUCAUUUAUCAAUUAAUAACAUAUCUGCACCUCCAUUUCAUAUAAAUUCGUACUGAAAAUUUUCCUACUAAAUGGAACUACUCUAUGUAAUAAUUCUCCCUUAAUUUGCUUUUAGUAUUUAUUAAUUAAUUUUUUUAGAUAUUUAUUAAUAUUUUUUGAAUUUUAAAUUUCAUUAAUUUAAUCAUAGAAGUGAAUUUUUUAUAAUUAAUAAGUUGAAUUUGCAAAAUUUUAUUUUAAAAUUCGUUAAUACUUCUUCACAAAAAUUUAUUUUCCCUGUAAUAUUUUUAUGGUUGCCGACGCCUCUCACAUGCUUUAGUUGACUAAAACACAAUUAAUCUCUUCACAAAAAUUUAUUUUCCCUGUAAUACUUUAUAAAUGUUUAAUCAAAGUGACAUGAUAGAUAUGCAUAUACAUGCCAAAUAACAUUAAAUAAUUUGACUUUGAAACGCUUGAAAAUGACUUGGUUUUUUAAAGUAUGUGGCUUGUUACGUUACGUUCUAAUAAAUGUAGAUGAUAAAAAGGAUUGAAUAUAAACUAACAUCAAAUGUCAAAAAGUCUCUUCUUUUCCUUUUUGCUAAAUGUCGCGGAGUCUACUUUUCUUUCAUGUCAUUAUCAAUAUACUUUUUCUUUUUCUUUUUUUAUUAUAAAAAUAAAGGUAGAAAGAGUAAACUAACAUACAUCUUCAAAUAUUUUCAUAAGUUUUAUACUUUAUGAUAACUAUAAAAUUAAUUUUUAGUUUAAAAUUUAAUCACUCUUAAAUUUCUUAUUCUAUCCAAGAGUACGAUCGAAUACUCUGAUAUAAAAAAUGUUACAUUGAAUUCCACCACAAAUAGCAUAAUUAUUAAAAUUUUAUCAAUUCUAAAGAUAGCCCAUGGCCAACACAUCGAAUUAAACUUCAAAAAAUACAUAUGGGGUUUUCAAGUAGGCAUAAAAUAAUACUACAUGCCUCAUUAAUUGCAUGCACUCCACUAAAAGCUCAUAGCGGCCUAAAAGUUAACAACAAAAUUACAAAAUAAAGUAAAUAACACAUCCACAUGCAUGUCAAAGUAAAAAUAUCUACUUAUCAAAAUUUGGAAUUAUUUAUAAACUUUAUUCAUUUAAGAUUUUAAAAUAGAAAUCUACAAAAAAAUUGUAAAAAAAAAAGGCCAAAAGCCAACACUAAUAAGUUUGACACUAACUGGAUUGCGUUAAUUAGCCAAACAAGACCAAUGCUUACUAGUGUGAGCCUGACCAUCGUUUAAAAUGACGCAAAAUCGUAAAAAUUGAACAAAAUUAAAAAAGUAUUGUCAUUGUUUGCAAUUUAAUGUUCUCCAUUUUUUUCCCAAACCACCAUCGCACGUCGCCACCCAAAACCUAAAACUACCACAGCUACAAACAUAGAGCUAGCUACCACUACUUACAAAAAAGAAACCAUCAAUAGGAAAAAAAAAGGAAAAUUCACUACCAUUGCAUGCAACCACACCACCACCCCAAAACUUAAACUGCCAUCUCUAUUGCCAAUAUCCACCGUCUCCAAAACCACCUACAAUACAGAGAAAAGAACCUCUUCAAUAAGUCUAAGAAAUUAAAAGAAAGCAAACAAGAGGAAAGAUUGAAGAUGAAAUAGAGAAUAUAAGUGAUGGCCAAACCAACGUUAAAAAUUUACAUUUUUUAAUAUUAGUAGCGCCAGCCAAACUAAUGCUUAAAAACAACUUUUUCUAAUAUAUUAGGAGGCCGUCGCUUCCUUUUAAAUUUUUUAAAAAUACAAGGUGAGAAUAGUUCUACAUUUCGGGCUAAGAUGAAAUUUUUUAAGAUAAUUAGUUAGCGUCAAUUAGGCAAAACACCAAUGUUUUUUUUUUAAUAUUAUUAGCACUGCCCAUGAUCAAGGCUAUCUUUUAAAUUUAAAAAACUAAAUAGAAGGCAGGAGUAACUUUACUUUUUGUUAGUGUAAGCCUAAGAGGCUAAUACUUUAUGGUUUACUUUUGUAUCGUGUUUUGUUUGUUUAUUAACUAUACAAGUUCGGUGGAUAGGAUUUGAUCCUCUUUUUUAACAAGAGUAAUGUCUUAGGCCUCUCCAUAGAGUGAUACAUACAAUAUAUUUAGCUAAGUGGAAAUAGAUCGAUAUGUAAUAUUGGACCUGUUUGUAAUUACACUUUUACUUUAUUAACGAAGAAUUAAUUUCACCAUUAUUUUGUUAAUUUGAGUUGGGUUUCAUGUAUGGGAUAAUUGUCCAUACAAGAUUUUUUUUUCUCAAUAUGUUCAAUCACUUCUAAUUUUACUCCCAUAAAAGUAUUUAGUAUUUUCCUGUAAGAUAUUUUUUUUAAAAUAAAUUCUAAAAUUAUAAUAGAUAAAAGAAAAAAAAUAAAUUGAUAUUAAUUUUACCUGUUUACGUACUUUUACAAUUUUUUUAUAGAAUUAAAAAUGAAAAAAUCAUACAACAUUUUAACAAUAUAAAAAUGUAAAGAACAAUUAUGAUUGGUAAAAUCAUAAAUAUUUUGAAUUUUUAUGAUGUUAUGAAUUUUGUAAAACUUGUAAUAUUUAAUUUUCUUCUAUGCAAAUAUGAUAAAUUAUCUAUUUCCCCUCAUUAAAAAUAUAUUUAGAUCUGUCACUAUACAGGGCCUUGGUUUAUACGUCUAGCCCAUAUAAAAAGGAUAGCCCAAAAAUUAAUUUUAAUUUUUUAAAUUUAUUUUUGUAUUUAUGUUAUGUUAUUUUAUUAAAAUAAUUGUAACAGUUAUCUAAAGUAAUUAUUUGAUUUUAAAAUUACUAAAAUUAACUAAUAUUAAUAUUAUUAUUUACUUAAAAAUAUUGCUUACAUAAUUUUUCUAAAAUUUUGGUAGGUAGUUAUUACAUUAUUUAAGUUGUUGCCGUCAUACAGAUGUUUUCAUCUUUUUUCAUAUCCAAUAUCUACUAUUAUAUAAAUUUUACCAGAGUUUUAUUUGUUUUCAUCAUUUUUACAAUUUUUUGUCCUAGUUAUGUAAAAAGAAUUAAAAUUUUAUUUCAGAAAAAGUCAAGAUAUUAUAAAAAAUUUUAUACAAUUAUUGAAUAAAACAUUUAUAUAAUUAUUUAAUAAAAAUUUAUCAUAUAUAAUAAGUUUAUUAAUUUCUAAAAUAAUAGUUUUAAAAUAAUUUAAAUAAUGAUUUAUAAUUAAAUAAUAAUAUAAAAUUAUUUUACAACUAACAAUAAAAAUUAAAUAUUUUAUUUUUUUAAAAGUUUUGUAACAUUCCAAACACAAUUGCACAGUCAAACUUUUGAUAUUUUAACCUAGUUACACAGUCUUGAGCACAACAAAUUAACUCGUGCUCAUUCUUUAUCGAGGAGGAACUUCCCUUCUGAACUAAAUCACACUUUUCAAAGCUUAAUUAUUCUCUCACAGUAAUUCUCUACCAAAUAAAUUAUGCUUAGCUGCAUAAACAUUACAUUAAUUAGUGCUCCCUCCAUAUAUCUACCAACCGAUUCAAAGUAACGACAGAAGAUCCACCUUCAGACAUUGCUUCGGUGGCACUGAUUUUCAUCUUAAAAAUCCUCUGUCUAAUCUCCUUCCCUCUGUCCGAGUCCAUGAGUUCCAUCACUCGGUCCCCCAACUCGGUGGAACUCACUAACCCGUCUUUGUUCUGCUUCACCGCCAAACCCACCUUCAUUUCCUCCACCAAUAUCACCCUAUUCAGCUUCUGCUCCGCGUAGAGAGGCCACGCCACCAUUGGCACACCUUCACACACCGCCUCCAACACCGAGUUCCACCCGCAGUGAGUCACAAACCCUCCCACCGAGUCAUGACUCAGUAUCGCCGCCUGUGGGGCCCAGUCCCUCACCACUAAGCCCUUCUCCUUGGUCCUCUCCAAAAACCCUUCUGGCAACAACUCGUCCAAGCUCGGUGGCUCCGCCGAGUCACCCUCUUCGAACUCGCUCCUCACGACCCACAAGAACCUUUGCUCACUCUUCUCCAACCCAAUAGCAAUCUCUCUCAACUGAGUCCUCGAGAAUCUCCCCAUGCUUCCGAAACUCAAGAAAACAACGCUGUGACUCGGUUGUGAAUCGAGCCAACUCAAACACCCGUUAUCAUCGCCUCUACAAGGAGCCGAAACCACCGGUCCAAUGCAAAACACUGGUGGCGUAGUUCCUUCCAUCAACCCUUCGUUGAACGCUUCUAUAACCCUACUUUCGAUAGCAUCAAAGGUGUUUACUAUAACCCCGUAACUGUCCCUCAUGCACGUGGCAAUGUCAAUAAAAACCUGGUCCUUCCCUUGCUCUGGCAAAUCAUCGGUGUGAAUUUUCGGUAACCCUGGUAUGAUGAGUUCCUUGAUGGACUUGGUGUUGUUUUCGUGAAUGAUGAUUUGCUGAAGGAAAACGGCGAGGGUGGAGGCGCCGGAAGUGUAGUAGAAGUAAGUGGGGAUUUGAAGCGUGUUGGUGACACGUGCGGCACUGUAGUUCAUGAAGUCCAAGACUAUUGCUUUGAGGUUUGAGGUUUGGGAGAUGGAGUUGAGGAUGCGGCGGAGGUGGUGGCCGGUGGCGCGGCAGAGCUCGAAGUUGAGGGCAUGGGGAUGGAGGACGGUGGGAAUUGAGAUCUGAGGGAUGCGGUGAAAGGCAAUGGAGGGAGUGGCGGCGGUGACGGCGGCGAUGUAUUUGGCGGUGGCGUCGCAGGUGAAGGCGGUGGGGGAGGUGGGGGUGUCUUGGUUGGGGGGUGGGGUUAGGAAAAGAAUGGUGAUGGAAAGUGAAGGGUGGUGGCUUAGUAUGAGUUUACCUAGUUCCACCAUUGAAAC
rnacentral:lncRNA from 1 species